rnacentral:rRNA from 1 species
UGCAAGUCGAGCGGAUGACGGGAGCUUGCUCCUUGAUUCAGCGGCGGACGGGUGAGUAAUGCCUAGGAAUCUGCCUGGUAGUGGGGGACAACGUUUCGAAAGGAACGCUAAUACCGCAUACGUCCUACGGGAGAAAGCAGGGGACCUUCGGGCCUUGCGCUAUCAGAUGAGCCUAGGUCGGAUUAGCUAGUUGGUGGGGUAAUGGCUCACCAAGGCGACGAUCCGUAACUGGUCUGAGAGGAUGAUCAGUCACACUGGAACUGAGACACGGUCCAGACUCCUACGGGAGGCAGCAGUGGGGAAUUUUGGACAAUGGGCGAAAGCCUGAUCCAGCAAUGCCGCGUGUGUGAAGAAGGCCUUCGGGUUGUAAAGCACUUUUGUCCGGAAAGAAAUGGCUCUGGUUAAUACCUGGGGUCGAUGACGGUACCGGAAGAAUAAGGACCGGCUAACUACGUGCCAGCAGCCGCGGUAAUACGUAGGGUCCAAGCGUUAAUCGGAAUUACUGGGCGUAAAGCGUGCGCAGGCGGUUGUGCAAGACCGAUGUGAAAUCCCCGAGCUUAACUUGGGAAUUGCAUUGGUGACUGCACGGCUAGAGUGUGUCAGAGGGGGGUAGAAUUCCACGUGUAGCAGUGAAAUGCGUAGAGAUGUGGAGGAAUACCGAUGGCGAAGGCAGCCCCCUGGGAUAACACUGACGCUCAUGCACGAAAGCGUGGGGAGCAAACAGGAUUAGAUACCCUGGUAGUCCACGCCCUAAACGAUGUCAACUAGUUGUUGGGGAUUCAUUUCCUUAGUAACGUAGCUAACGCGUGAAGUUGACCGCCUGGGGAGUACGGUCGCAAGAUUAAAACUCAAAGGAAUUGACGG